UGCCCCAGUAACGGCGAGUGAAGCGGCAACAGCUCAAAUUUGAAAUCUGGCGCAAGCCCGAGUUGUAAUUUGCAGAGGAUGCUUUUGGCGCGGUGCCUCCUGAGUUCCCUGGAACGGGACGCCGGAGAGGGUGAGAGCCCCGUACAGUUGGACACCAAGCCUUUGUAAAGCUCCUUCGACGAGUCGAGUAGUUUGGGAAUGCUGCUCAAAAUGGGAGGUAAAUGCCUUCUAAAGCUAAAUACCGGCCAGAGACCGAUAGCGCACAAGUAGAGUGAUCGAAAGAUGAAAAGCACUUUGAAAAGAGGGUUAAACAGUACGUGAAAUUGUUGAAAGGGAAGGGCUCGUGACCAGACUUGCGCCCGUCGGAUCAUCCGGCCUUCUGGCCGGUGCACUCCGGCGGGCUCAGGCCAGCAUCGGUUCUUCUGGGGGGACAAAAGCGGCGGGAACGUGGCUCUUCGGAGUGUUAUAGCCCGCUGCAGAAUACCCCCGGGGGGACCGAGGACCGCGCUUCGGCAAGGAUGCUGGCGUAAUGGUCACCAGCCACCCGUCUUGAAACACGGACCAAGGAGUCAAGCAUUAGGGCGAGUGUUUGGGUGUUAAACCCGCACGCGAAAUGAAAGUGAACGCAGGUGAGAGCUUCGGCGCAUCAUCGACCGAUCCUGAUGUUUUCGGAUGGAUUUGAGUAAGAGCCUUACCGCUUGGACCCGAAAGAUGGUGAACUAUGCUUGGAUAGGGUGAAGCCAGAGGAAACUCUGGUGGAGGCUCGCAGCGGUUCUGACGUGCAAAUCGAUCGUCAAAUCUGAGCAUGGGGGC
rnacentral:rRNA from 1 species